AUUGAACGCUGGCGGCAGGCCUAACACAUGCAAGUCGAGCGGAUGACGGGAGCUUGCUCCUUGAUUCAGCGGCGGACGGGUGAGUAAUGCCUAGGAAUCUGCCUGGUAGCGGGGGACAACGUUUCGAAAGGAACGCUAAUACCGCAUACGUCCUACGGGAGAAAGCAGGGGACCUUCGGGCCUUGCGCUAUCAGAUGAGCCUAGGUCGGAUUAGCUUGUUGGUGAGGUAAUGGCUCACCAAGGCGACGAUCCGUAACUGGUCUGAGAGGAUGAUCAGUCACACUGGAACUGAGACACGGUCCAGACUCCUACGGGAGGCAGCAGUGGGGAAUAUUGGACAAUGGGCGAAAGCCUGAUCCAGCCAUGCCGCGUGUGUGAAGAAGGUCUUCGGAUUGUAAAGCACUUUAAGUUGGGAGGAAGGGUUGUAGAUUAAUACUCUGCAAUUUUGACGUUACCGACAGAAUAAGCACCGGCUAACUCUGUGCCAGCAGCCGCAGUAAGAC
rnacentral:rRNA from 1 species